rnacentral:snRNA from 1 species
AUGCUCACUUCAGCAAUACAUCCAUGAAAACUAGAAUGUUAUAGACAUUAGCAUGGCCCCUGCACAAGGAUAUGCAAAUUCAUGAAGCGGUCCAUAUUUUU